rnacentral:misc_RNA from 1 species
UCCGUAGUAACACCACGGCAGUCCCCCGUGACACAAGUAACACGGGGCAAGGGUUGCGCUCGUUGCGGGACUUAACCCAACAUCUCACGACACGGGCUGACGACAGCCAUGCAGCACCGGUGCACCACCCUCGAAGGCAACGCGGUUUCCCGCGUUUGCAGGUGCAUGUCAAGCCUGGGUAAGGUUCUGCGCGUUGCGUCGAAUUAAACCACAUGCUCCACCGCUUGUGCAGGCCCCCGCCAAUUUCUUUGAGUUUUAACCUUGCGGCCGUACUCCCCAGGCGGAUAACUUAAUGCGUUAGCUGCGCCACCAAAACCCUAAGGGCCCUGACAGCUAGUUAUCAUCGUUUACGGCGUGGACUAC